rnacentral:tRNA from 1 species
UGGAUUGUAGCUCAGUGGCAAAGUGCUUGUCUUGCACAUGAGAGGCACUGAGUUCAAUCCUCAGCACCACAU